rnacentral:misc_RNA from 1 species
GGAGGAGGAAGAAGAAGAUGACGAUGAAGAUGAUGGUGAUGAUAAUGUCGAGCCAGCCAGAGCUGAAUUGGAUAACUAUUUGGUCAAGAAGGUUCUCGAGCAGGAGCCGGAGAUGCUGCCUUGUCACGCAUUAGCGUCGCCGUUGUCUCCUCAGCCGUCGUCCCUUGGUACGCCUCGAUUGGGGCCGGCGAUCAAGGUUUGGG